rnacentral:rRNA from 1 species
CCUACGGGAGGCAGCAGUGUGGAAUAUUGGUCAAUGGGUGGAAAUUUGACCCAGCCGGGUCGCGUGAAGGGGGACGGCCUUACGGGUCGUAAACUUCUUUUCCGGGGGAAUAACCUGGGUCACGGGUGACCAAAUGCCGGUACCCCAGGAGCAAGCCCCGGCUAACUCCGUGCCAGCAGCCGCGGUAAUACGUAGGGGGCGAGCGUUUUCCGGAUUUAUUGGGCGUAAAGGGUGCGUAGGCGGGUUUUUAAGUCAGUGGUGAAAGCCCGGGGCUCAACCCCGGCAGUGCAUUUGAAACUGGUUGUCUUGAGUGCGGGAGAGGAAACGGAAUUCCUGGUGUAGCGGUGAAAUGCGUAGAUAUCUAGGAGGAACACCAGUGGCGAAGGCAGCUUUCUAGUCCUGUAACUGACGCUCAGC